AAAAUGCGAUAAGUAGUGUGAAUUGCAGAAUUCAGUAAAUCAUCAAAUCUUUGAACGCACAUUGCGCCCUUUAGUAUUCCUUAGGGCAUGCCUGUUCAAGCGUUAUUUAAACCCUUAAGCUUAGCUUAGUAUUAGGCGUCUGUCCCCCCCACUACGUGGGCGGGGACUCGCCUUAAAUCAAUUAGCGGCCAGUACGUUGGCUUCGAGCGCAGCAGAAACGCGAACUUGGGCCCUAGCAAGCCGGCUCCCAAAAGCCAUACUCCUAAUUUUAACCUCAGAUCAGGUAGGGAUACCUACUGAACUUAA
rnacentral:misc_RNA from 1 species